rnacentral:lncRNA from 1 species
CUCCUCCAGGCAGGCUAAACCCUCUUCCUCCUGAGCCACCUUCAUUUAGGCCUUCUGGUGAUGCUGCUCCAGCUGCUACUGCCGCUGUUGCUGCAGCUUCUCCUGCCCCUCAACAGCCUGCUAUUAGUAGCACUCCACCACCACCCCGACCACCAGCUGGUGCCAAACCUGGCCCACCCCUACCACUACUGCCAGCACUAGCUGGUGCCAGACCUGGUCCUCCUCCACCACCUCCAGCCUCAGUUGGUGCCAAACCUGGUCCUCCACCACCACCCCCAGGACCAGCUGGUGCCAAACCUGGUCCACCUCCUCCACCACCCCCAGCUGGUGCCAAACCUGGUUCUCGUCCACCACCACCUCCUCCUAUGAGUGGUGUGGCUCCUCCUCGACCUCCGCCCCCGUUUGGUUCAAAGGUGCAACGUCC